UAACCCGCCACGCUUAGCGCGUGGGGAGACAGUGUCAGGUGGGCAGUUUGACUGGGGCGGUCGCCUCCUAAAGAGGAACGGAGGCGCCCAAAGGUUCCCUCAGAAUGGAUGGAAAUCAUUCGCAGAGUGUAAAGGCACAAGGGAGCUUGACUGCGAGACUGACAAGUCGAGCAGGGACGAAAGUCGGGCUUAGUGAUCCGGUG
rnacentral:rRNA from 1 species